GAAAUUAUAGGUUACGAGAGCGCCGAACAUGAAACGAAAGGAUUACCAAGCGAAUCCGAUUUUGCGGAGAUGGAAAGGAGAGGGGUAGAGCGAACGGCACGCUUAAUGGGUAGAGAGAAGGAGCGGAGGGUCGGGGUGGAGUGAUUAGGGUUUCGGAGAAGGGGAAUGGCGGGGAAGGGGUGGGUUUUCUCUCCAUGGAUGGAUCGAGGAGUUGCGGGGAGCGGCGUCGCCAUUGGCGUCGAACGAAGACGACGAUGGCAUCAGCAGUUAAUAGCCGAAACCUGCUUUUCUCCAGCGUAUUCGCCCGUUCGGUACUUUUUACGGGUUAAAUUGCACAACUGGUCCCGCACAUUUUGUCAAAUUUAAUUGCCUCUCAAAAUUUUUAAAUAUUUUAUUAUUUUUAUUAUUUAUUAAAAACUUAGAGAACUAAAAUAGGAGUUAACUAAACUAUAAAAAUUAGAAAAAACUUCAAAUAUCCCCCGUUUCACUUUUUAUUAUUUUAUUACUCUAUGAUUUAAAGUAUAUCGAGUUAAUAUCAUAUAGUUUCGCACUUUAUCACUUUAGUCCCUGUGGUUUCACACUUUAUUACUUUUUAAAAACUAUAUGGUACUAACUUGAUACAAUAAUAAAAUUAUAGAGUACUAACUUGAUACAUUUUAAAACACAGAGUACUAAAGUGAUAAAGUGAGAAAUCACAUGGUACUAACUCGAUAUACUUUAAACCACGUGAUACUAAAAUGGAAAAGUGUGGAACCACAAAUGGGCUUUUAGAAGUUUUUCCUAAAAACUACUAGUAAAUCAAUUUUUAAAAUUUUCCGUACUUUGUGAGAUUACGUGGCGUCUAGGUAUCCUGGUAAUUUUAAGGCUCUGAAAAGACGAGCUUUUGAAAAGGUAUUUCGAUUACUUGGGCUACAUACAGUUCGAGAGAAGGGUCGAGAAAAACAAGAUUCAAUCCAAGUUCAAAACGAAGCCACAGGCAUGGCCCUUUUGUUGCCUCAGCUGACGCACGGGCUUCUUGCAUGAGCAAUCCUUAGUUCGGAUCUCAAAUUUUCUGGGGAUAGUAGGUGUGUAUAAUAACUAUAACGCCGGGUUUAAAAAAUUCCAUUCGAAUGGAACGAAUCUGGAUUCAACCAGAAAAAAAAAAAAAUCAAACGAGAACCAAAUUGAAGUUAGACAACCAUUAAAAAAAGUUUGAGUUGUAAGGAAAAUAUGAAUUUAAAAUCUUAAUACUAAAUUUAGGAACUCGAACUCAAUUUAAAACCUUAAAUAAACUCGAUUAAUUAAAUACAGUAUUAUUAUUCGUAACAUUUUAACUUGGGUCCAAUUAACAUGAUUCGAAUUUCCGCCAAUUUAACAGAUUCGAAGCAUGAGGCUCCGUCUCGCCCUCCGAGCGGCCGCGCGCUCGGCGGCGAAGGUCUCGCAAAAAAUUUCCGCGCCGGAGAUAUUCCGGCGCUCGUACUCCCAACUCCACCCACAAUCCGAGAGGUCUCGCUAUUCCCGCAUCCACUAUCCCGUUUCGCUUUUUAUUCCCUGCUUAUUAUUCCCCAUUAUUCCAUCUCCAUUUCUCUUUCUUAUUCUCCCGCAGACCUUCGUUCGGGAUCGCCUUCGACAUCGACGGCGUUGUUCUUCGCGGUCGCACUCCGAUCGGUGGGUCGCCGCAGGCCCUUCGGAGGCUCUACGGCGACGAUGGUAUGGACGUGAGAUAGCCUUGUGGAACAUAUUGAUUAUUCAUGCUUAUUUGUUGUAAUUUGAUCUGUUGUCAAUGUGCUUAUUCUGGUUGGGGGGACCUUUUGUCGCUUUAUACUCUCGUCUAUUGCUGUUUCUGCAGUAGCUAUCUAUGUUCUAGGUUUAGCUUGUUGUGAUGGGGUUGAAUUUUAAGUUUGUUUCUCUGGGGCAUUUUGCUGAAUAGGUCGGGGGCAUGAUUCGCAAAUAAGCAUUCUGAAGUGUUCGUGUGCAUCUUAUGUAAUCUACACACUCAGCAGUGUUUGCUUAAGAGACUUUGUAACGUUAGAUGUGAAACUAAUUUGACUAGGAUGCAUUUCAAUUGAUGAUUUGAUUCUGCAGGAAGUAUUUCCCUUUCUUUAGUCAAAUGUUAUUUCCUUGUUGUCUAUAAAGUGAUGCACCGAUAGAUGUGAUAAUCGGUUGUGUUUGUUUCUGAGGGUCUGCUCUUUUUUCCUGCUUUGCAGGUACUUUGAAGAUUCCAUUUCUGUUCUUAACUAAUGGUGAGCUGUUUCUUGUAUCUUCGUUACAUGUUUUUGUUUCUCUUCCUUUCUCUUGGGCUAAGUAGGGUAGAAUUUGAAUUUGAGAUUACUAAAUUGCAAGAUUGAGGCCAAAUAAAACUGGUAUCAUUUUUUGUGCUGCUUUUGAUACUUUGAUUGUUUUGAUAUGAUGUCAUCAUGCCAGCAGUCUUUGCCAUCCUUGCAUUCAUAAUAAUGACGUCUUUCAAUCUUGUUUCAACAAUAUUGUAGAAGUUAGUCUAGUCUAAUACUUGACUAUUCGGAUCAUUUCACAUUAUAGGAGGCGGGGUUACGGAAUCAAAACGAGCACUGGAGUUGAGUGAGCUUUUAGGAGUUCAUAUCUCACCUGUCCAGGUACAUAAUUUGUACUUUCCGUAUGGAUCGACUUCAUGGCCAUUUAAUUAUUUUUUGUGACUGGUUGUACAUAUCGAAGAUAUAUAUGUGCACAUAGCAAUGUGAAGGUACUCUAGAAUUAAUUAAUGCUCAUAAUGCUUAAGUUGAGUCCAUGCUCUCCUUUUUAUUUCCUUUGUCAUCAAUUAUUGUUAUUAUCAUUGUAUGUCUGAGCUCUGUUUAUUGCAACUACGACACAGGUAGUGCAGGGACAUUCUCCUUUCAAAGAGCUGGUGAACAGGUAUAAACAUCCACAUUCAAUGGUCGAUAAUUUUAUCCUCAAUUUCGCCCCCUCUAUGUUCAUGUUUGCUUGUAAAGUCCUUGUAAAUGUUUAAAAAACUUAUAUGGACUUUAACCGUUACCUUCUUUCUGGAGUUGAAGGCCUCACUAAUUUUGUUUUAUAUUUCUCACCUCUGUUUUGUUAUAUUUCUUUGGAAAAAUGCAGCACGUUAUAAUCAUGCUUAAGUUUUAAAUUCCUCUUUUUCUUCAGAUUUGAAGAUGAACUAAUUGUUGCUGUUGGGAAAGGGGAACCUGCUACAGUAAUGUCAGAGUAUGGGUUCAAGUAAGCUCCAACAAUAUGGUCAAUGAGAAUUUCCUGUACCUGGAUUGUUGCAUCAUCGGAGUAGUCUAUAACAAUGCAUGCUUUUCUCAUUAUUUGCUAAUAUGUGCAGAAAAGUUCUUUCCAUAGAUGAACAUGCAUCAUACUUCAGUGACAUCGACCCCCUGUCUCCUUACAAGCAGUGGAAAACAAAGCAAAUGUUGGAUAGUAUGUAUAAUUCCAAGGAAGUGAACCCGAGAUGCAACGUUUACUCCGACAGAGUGAAAGGAGUGUUUGUUGUUAGCGACCCUGUCGACUGGGGAAGAGAUAUACAGGUGUUUAUUCUCCCUCUAGUCAUAUAGUUAUAAUCGGCAUUUUAUUUUCCCCAUACUGUCAUACAAACUAUCAGAUUAUUCAGCGAGCUGUAAAUGCUUCUGAUGUGAUUCUAAUAAGUGGGAUGCUGUAUAUGAUGUUUAAAUGAUGGCUCAUUUAGUUUAGUGAAAUAAUUUCGAGAUGAUUGGCAUAAUAUAAAAUGAUAUAUUCAUUCACUCAGGUACUCUGUGAUAUCCUAAAAACUGGUGGCCUUCCUGGAAAGGAGAAAGGACAUCAACCUCCUCUAUACUUUGCAUCUGAUGAUCUUGAAUACCAGGUAAGUCGAAGUUUGAGGAUCCUUUUUCUUAUAAAAUAUUAUUGAGAAUUCAUUCACUCUAAAGAUAGUUCUGAUUUCGAACAUCAACACUUGGCUGAUAUUUAGGUUGCAUUCACAUAUUUCUUCUUUCUUUUGUGCGUAAAUAUAAAGAGAGCUCACCUUCAAAUUGCUUUUCAAGGCAGGCUGCGUUUCCUUCGGAACGGCUGGGAAUGGGUGCUUUUAGGAUUGGAUUACAAAGCAUCUUUAAUGCGUAAAUGAAGCUGUCGAAGUUAUUUCUCCUAUUUACCAUGAAAUAUGGAGGACUUUAUAUCUCAUAUUCCCAACCUAAAUAUGCAGAGUCCAUGAUUCCCCUCUGGAGUAUACCUCAUUUGGGAAGCCAAAUCCAUUUGUAUUUAAGAACGCCGAGGCCAUUCUAUCAAAUCUCGUCUACAAUAUGUAUCCCCAUCAGGAGUUUGCAAUGGAAGGAAGAGGACAUACAUUCACUACUCUCUACAUGAUUGGCGAUAACCCUAAAGUGGAUAUCAAUGGUGCCUUGAAGGUUUGUUUUAUGAACCUUUAACUUGUGUGUUUACAUUGUUUGAGGCACCAUAAAAGUAGCUCCAGUAGGAAUCGUUCAGUUUGCUCAACCUUUACCAUUGUGACAAGUUGACCCAGAUCCAACAUGAUCCACCAUCAGGUCUGGUUGUUCAUGUUGGAUCAUGCUAGAAGUGACAAUUGUUUGCUACCAAGACCCCGGUCUGACCAAACCAGAUGUGACAAUUUGCAAUUAAAGAUUUUAUUAUAAAAAGGGGACCUGUUUAAGAAGAUUGCUUGGCAGUCAGAUCUAAUCUAGUUUGGCCCUUCUCCUGCUAACUCGUGCAAUAUAUGUUCAGCUUUCAUAGAUUAGUAGUUCUCUCUUUCUCUCUCUCUCUCUCUCUCUCUCUCUCUCUCUCUCUCCAUUCAUGUACACUAUAGUUUGUGUAUGAAAGGAUGUCUCUGUAAUGUAAUUCUUAGUUUUAUAUAUUACCAAUUGUGCUGAAAUACAGUUCUCAUUGUAAAAACUGUAGUAUUGGAUCUAUUGCUUCAUAUAUUGCCACCAGCAUAACUACUUACUUUUUUCUUACAGGCGGGGCGCCCUUGGUUUUCUAUCCUCACAAGAACAGGGGUUUUCAGGGGGAAAGAUAACGACACACAGUUUCCUGCAGAUUUGGUAGGUUCGUUUUUUUUCUCUAUUUUACCAUGCAGUGCAGGGUCUUAAAACAAGGUUUAUCCUUUGUUUUCCCUGUAAAAUGGGAUUGAAAGAUAAGUUUGACUUAUUUGUGGUUCCCCAGGUUGUUGAUACUGUUGAAGAGGCUAUCGAUCACAUUUUAAGGAAGGAGUGCUCAACAUCUUCGUCUGCUUUUUAGGCAAGUUAGUGCCAUUUGCAGGCUGGUUGUAAUAUGCUGAAAUGUAACAGGCUAACAGCUAUGCUGUGCUCAUUGUUUCUGAAAUCCGAUCAGAUAAUAAAUUAUUAGUUCAUUUUAUCAGAAGGCAUCAUUCUGAUGCAUUUGUGUGACAGGUUUGUGCUUUAUUGAGCAUAUUAACACAGUAUAUUUCUGUACUCUCAUAUCCCUUGCUGAAAGCAUGAAUGCUGUCUCAUUCGAACUGUCGAAUGUGGCAAUCAGACAGGGAGGUUAGAGCUUACUAUUUAUGAGAUCAAUAUUAACCACAAACCUCGCUAUUUAUAAGUUACAAUAUUCCAGGAGCUGAGCACCUGUUUAACCCUAGACAAUAGUCAAUUGUUUGCAAAGAGAAAAAAAAAGCUUUUCCUAUGAUAGGGAAUUUAAAUGAUCUUCCAUAUCCUCAAUGUUAAAAAAAAAAAUUAAAAAAAAAAACUGUCUAUCGAAUUGUAAUGUGAAUGUAAAGUUAGAAAAUUGUUUAUUAGCUAAAUCAAUGAGAGAUCCGUAGUAUUCAUUUUUGUCUGCAGUCUCGUAAAUGGUACGUAUACUCAUGGAGAUGUUCCUGGGCAUAACAAAACUCCAAAUAAUAAUAAUAAAAUGCUAAUAAAGAAAAUUGCAUUUUUAGUUGGACCAAACAGGCUUGCAGCCCAGAGCGGCGAAGCAAGCCCAUUCCCGAACCCUAAAACCCUCGUUAGCGGAAGCCGUACCAUCACCCUCGGAGGUCUGAACCGGCGGCGAUGACGUCCGUGCGCUCGGCUGCGUCGACGGCGCUGCCGCCGAUCCGGGCGGCGGUGGCGCGGUCGAAGCGCGAGGCGAUCCGGCGGGAGCUGGAGAACUGCCAGCUGCUGGCGGGCAUCUGGUGCCACGGGCUGACGGUGCGGCAGCUGCAGGCGCUCCGCGGCGCUCUCCCGGAUACGGCGCGGCUGGUGGUGGCGAAGAACUCGCUGGUGGAGAAGGCCAUCGAGGGCACCAAGUGGGAGCCCCUCCGCCCCUGCGCCAAGGGUAUGAACGCCUGGCUCUUCGUCCACUCCGACGACGUCCCCCCCGCCCUCAACCCCUACCGCCACUUCCAGCGCGAGUGGAAGCUCGCCCUCAACGACUUCACCGGCGCCGUCUACGAGGGCAGGCUCUACGGCCCCGACGAUUUCGCCGCCCUCGAGGCCAUGCCCACGCGCCUGCAGUCCUACGCCUACCUGCUCGGCUGCCUGCACACCCCCGCCGUCUCUCUGCUCGGCGUCCUGCAGGCCGCGCCAGUACAGCCCGCCCCUGCCCCUCCCCCUCCCCCUCCCCCCAAGGAGGAGAGUUAGAUAGAUGAUCACGUAAGCAUCUCCUGUUAAAAUGUUACCUUGCAUGAAAAGAAGGAUUUCGUUCGAUCUGCACAAUUGCUAGAUUUUAAGCGACUUUGUCGUCGGCGGUCAUCUUCCUAGUUAGUUGUGAAUUAUGGGGUAGCUAGCUCUGGUUUUGUACAUGCAAAUAGUUUCUAGUAACUGCUCGAGAGGGAUUUAGCGGCGCGAUUUGGCUUCGCUCCUGCCCCCAAAUCAACCAAUAUAUGCACAUUUAAUUUCCUUUCUGGGAAUGGAAAAUUUGGGGUGAUGUUAUUUGGACAUCUCGGAUAUCUACUCUUUUGGAAGAUAAGGCGAAAAUUUGUACAAACUCGAAGAUCUUCUAUCUUGAAUCAUCUGUAUGCAGAGCAUUAGAUUUUUAGAUUAGAUGCUGGAUACGGUUAAACCAGAAGUUGGACCUGAUUGGACGAGUUAAGUGAAUGUCAUAAUUCAUAUCAGGACCUGCUCUUGAGACUACAAUGCUUAAAAAUCCACCUUUGAGCACCGAUAAUGUGACUAAAAUAACUCUCCUAAAGUUCCACCUCUUCUGCUGGUUGUACAUUACUUACAACAUGGACCUUGUUUACUCUUUUCUUUGCUAGUGGAAUGGUCUUGGCACAAUAGAAACAUAUAAUGGUCGGCUACGAAUGAAUUUACUCACAUUUUGAGAACCACCACUGUUCUGUUAUAGCCUUAUAAACAGUUUCAGUCGUUGGGCGACUUUUAGUAAAAAUGGCACCGCUGAAGUAAAAUAUUUAGAGAAAGCAUGCUAACAGUUUCAGUAGUCAGAUACGACGUUAGAAAAUCGAAACUAUUCAAAUAUUUGAAGAACAUUUAGACUAUGCUAUUUUACUGUUUAACUGAUGUUAGCAUUUACUGAGAGCCGAUCAACAUUCACUGCCCAUUAUUUUGCCCUUUUUUUUUAGUGAGGAAGGAAUCUGAAUGGAUAAUCAAUUUUUUUUUCCGCUUAAUCAUAAUGGAUUUGAUAAAACCCAGUGAUGCCACCUUCUCUGCAAGCACCUGCCCCCGUGCAUUGGCACUUUUUUUCUGUUUUGAGAGAGAGAGAUUCUUGUUUUUUUGAGAGAAAGGUAGCAUGCGACCGCUGCAUUCAUUUAAAAGAUGAACUAGGCCUCAGAGAGGGGGGGAAAAAACUAAACACAACAAGAAUUCCAAAGGUUCCUAUAAGAGCGAAUCUCCACAGCAGCUGUCUCAAGGUGAGCUUCUUAUUCAGAGAGAAAGGGAAAUUGACACAUUGAAAUAAUGGAACUUACCAAGUGUUCGCUCAGAAACUUUCGAUGUGCAUAAAAAACAUAUAUUGACAUUCUGAUUUUGUGGGUUCUCACCUUAGAGAUUAAAUAUUUAUAGGAGCUUAAACUGUGAGGAGAUUGUGAAUUUUCUUUUAUCUCAUUCCUUUACUUGUCAUAAUCAUCUCUUUUUUUCUUAUGAAUGAGUAUUCAGAUUCAGAUCUCCGUUUUUCUCCGUAGGUAUUUAGCAUCUUUUUAUUCCUUGCUUGGAUCAGGUAUGUGGUGGCUUAAUGAAGGACACAUGGUAAAGUGAUGCCAGAAUGUCAAUCAGCUAAACACAAUUGAGCCAUGUUUUUUCUAUUAUCAGCAGAAAGUGUGUUUUACUUUGUGGGAAUAUUCCUAUAAUUGUCUCUCCCUUGUUGGCAAAAAUAAUUAAUCGAUUAAUGAGAUACCAAUUAUAUUCUGCUUUUUUACAUUUCCAUUUCCAUUUUCAUUAUCCCGACAAAACAGAGACUUGGGCAUUUGUGUAUCUCUGUUGCUGUUGUUUCGUUAUAUUAUGACCAGCAUGUGUGGGAUAAACUUCUAGCUCUCUUUCCUAUUGUUCUUCCUGCUGCUUUUGUCAUUUGGCUUGGAUUUGGUGAAAAUUUUGGAUGUUGUUCAUUUAAUGGAUUGCGUGUUUUUUUUUUUUGAGAGAGAUAGGUAGCACGCUACCCGCUUCGUUUAUUUCAUUAAGAAAUAAACUUAGCUGGAAAUGUGAAUCAAUUAGGAUUCGAACUUGGGAUCUCGAGUAUCAACCACCAAGCCCUUUGCCACUUAUUCUAGGGACGGUCGGUAAUGGAUUGCAUGUUAUUCAUAAACCUUUCUAUUGAGGUGAUUAUCCAGAAAUUUUGAUACAUAAGGAAGGCGUAAGAAUUCCUAGACUUGCAGAAGAUCAACUAAGCUUUGUUCUCAGACAUAGCAGAGUUUAUUUAAGGAAUAGGAGUAAUGAAGCGUUGAUGGUGUUUGUUGAUGCUGACUCUAGACAUGGUUGUUCUUGAAGUUCUGUUUUUCUUAGUAUUGCCAUCAAUGAUCUAACAUAAAUUGUCGGGUGCCUUUCUGGAAGGGAAAAAAGAAACUAUUGGUGGAUUAUAUUUCGGUUUCAAUUAGAGCCAUUUGGUUCAAAGUUUAUAAUAUUUUGAAAAUUUGUAAAUAUUAUAUAUUUUAUAUUGAAAAUGAUAAGUUUGUUAUUAAUUUAUCAAGUUACUUAGGUCAGGAGGUUGUUAAGAUAAUAAUUUUCAUUUAGUACAAAAUGAGAAUAUUUCUCAAUCUAUGAUAAUCUAGUAUUUCUAUCACUUGAAAAUUUAUAAUUAUUCUACUGUUUGACUAACAUCUUUUAUAGCUACUGAAUAUAAGUAGAAUGGUAAUAAUUUAAAUAUUUUUAAUAAAAAAUAGAGAGAAUUCCUGAAAUAUUAUAAAUCGUGAACCAAUUGGACAAGUGGAAGAGUGGGAAAGAGUGGGAGAAUUGUUGCUUGUGGCAUGCGCUGCGCCACUCAUGACUCAUCAAAUGAUUUGAUGCUUGUUUUGUGGUUCUGUUCUCGGUUGAGAUCACAAAGGUGCUAAGCUUCGCGCGAAGAACCUAGUCCUCGUAGACCACUCGUCAAUGAUUUGGUGCUUGUUUAAUGGAUCUAUUCUCGGUUGAGAUGUUAAAGGUGCUAAGCUUCGCGCGAAAACCCUAGUCCCCAUAGACCAGAAGUGAGAUGCCCAGGGAAAAUUUUGAAAGGCAUGGGAGGGAAAGAAUAGAAUCCUAAAGGCAAAGAGAGAAAAAAAAAGGAGGAUCAACUGGUUCUCUCGAUCGGCCCCAGGCGAUGGUCCAAAGUUAAAAGCCGGGAAAAUAAAGCCAGACGAUGGAAAGAAGGCCCCCGGAAGCCACACAUAGCAAAAGAAGAUGCACAGCUGAACACUCAUAUAAAGAACUUCUUCUUGGCCACAACCAGUAAAGAACAGGCUAAAGCAGGGAGACACGCCGACAAUGGAAUCUCGUGCCCUCCUGCAGUAGCCCACCAUAUCACCCCUCAUGGGCAUUAUCCUGUCCCAACUCGAAAUAUAGUUAGGUUAAGGCAUGUCAUUUAGGGAGUGACACAUCUAGCUUUUGCUCCCUUUCCAAUCUUAGGAUUGAUUACUUUUUGCCAGUGAUUCAGUUUGUUGGCUUAGAUGCUUGUUUUGGUUAACACAUGUAGUAAUGAUCGUUAGAAAAGGAAAGGUUUCUUUUGGACAAGCAUAUUAUUUAAGGCUGUGUUUGAUUGGAGGGAUAUUCCAGAACAAGACGGGAUAUCCCCCUUUAUCCACCCAAACACGAGACAAAAUGGGACAUCCUCUUUGUUCUAAGCCUAGUUCUCCCUUACAUGGAGAACAAAUCGGAACAAAAAAAUUUAGCUCUUUUUUUCCUAUUAUGCCCUUUUAUUUUCUUUAUACUUUAUUUUAAUUAAUUUCAAAUAAAUCAAAUUAAGGCUCAAAUUUUAUGCUACUAAAUUAAUGUUUCUAAGGUGGUUUGUAAACAUAUCAAAUUUGUGAAAUAAUUUGCUCUUCUAUAUUUAAAAUUAUAUAUUUAUAUUUAAUUUUAAUUGGUUUCAAAUAUAAAAUUGGAAGUAUAUUUUUACUGUUAUAUUCAAAAUUAUACUAUUAUAUAUUAAUUAUAUUUCUAUUCAUAUAUAUUGAAUUGUAUUUUAUUAUUAUAUUCAAGGGCAUAAUUGUUAUUUUAUUUAAUUUUUAUCAAUCCAAUACCUUAUUUCAACAUAAACAUCCAAACUGGGAUAUCCUCUAGAACAAACAAAAAAUAUCCAAACGUAAUUUAGAACUUGUUCCGGCUUAUCCUAGAACAUUUCCUGUUCUCGAGAACAAUAAAAAUUAUCUUUUACAAUUUAGUUCUCAAACCAAACGCAGCUGGGUGUCAGGCAUGUAUAUAAGCUUGGCCUCUUAUAGGUGAUAAGCCUUAUAAUUUGUUGUCCCACAUGGUGCUUUCCUAUUCUUAUUCCUUUUCCCAUUAUGUUAAUAGCUGAAAAGGUGAUCUUCUUCCUGCUAUUUGAACCAAGUGUUUUAUGUGAUUUAAUCCGCAAAUCCACCGAUGGUUUCUAGGAUGCACAUGUUCUGUGAAAUAUAAAACAUAGAGGUUUCUGUUGGUUAAUUUAGUCACAACAUGAAUUUCUUUGGAUAUUUAUUUAUUACUCCUCAAACUGAAUUAGCCGAGGUUUUUCGUUCUUUUAGUUCAAUCAUUUUCUAUCUGCAUUACUAAUCCAUGAUUAGCCUAAAUUAAUUCUUUGAGAAAAAAUAAGAAGGAUUAGAGUAAUUGGAAUCUAAGAAAGAAGAGAUUGUGCGAAUGGGACGCCAAGAGUAGAGAUUUUCUGAGAAUCUAAAGCCUCGAAGGAUGACACCGAGAUUGCAUUGUCUACUUUAGCUCGACGGAGAAGCAGAAUAAUUUUACGACGACAUGUGGGAUGAUACUUUAGAGAAUUUUUCUUUCUUUAGUUCUGGAGGUUUCAAAACCAGAAGUUGAGAAGCAAAGAAUAAAGAAGGCAAUUUUGAUGGAUGGUGGGGCACUUUUUUUUUUUUUUUUCUUCUUAUUUGAUAUAUGAGAACAGUCAGGUAGGCUUCGCCAACUGAGAAUAGUCAGGCGAGGGCAUGUGUUUGCACGGGUUUUAUGCUUGGAAUAUGCGUUGACUAGGAUUAUAAUUACAAGGAAAAACUUCAAAAACCUCUCUUGGGGUUUCAUUCUUUCUCACUUUAGUAUCCUAUAGUUUAAAGUGUAUCAAGUUAGUACCCUAUGGUUUCGCACUUUCUAACUUUAGUACCCUAUGGUUUAAAGUGUAUCAAGUUAGUAACCUAUGGUUUCGCACUUUCUCCAUUUAGUACCAUGUGGUUUAAUAUUUUAUUAAGAGAAAAAUAAAACCACAGGGUACUAACUUGAUAAAAAAAUAAAACCACAAGGUACUAACUUGAUACAAAAAUAAAAUCACAGAGUACUAACUUGAUACACUUUAAACCACAAGAUACUAAAGUGAGAAAGUGCGAACCCACAGAGUACUAACUUGAUACAAUUUAAACCAUAGGAUACUAAAAUGAAAAAGUGCGAAACCACGGGAGGUCUUUGAAGCUUUUCCUAAUUACAAUGAGAUCUGAUUUGGCCAUAUUCGCAAUUGUUGGUUGUAUCCUUCCAUUUAGAUUGUCUUAGAAUUUGAUUGCUCCAAGAUUCUGCAAGGAUGUGCAGACCCUGCUGCCGGGGAAAAUGCUGCUUGGCAAUGACAAGAACAAAAGCUACGUUUCAGGAAUACAUAAUAAAAAAGUGCCGCAUGGGGACAGACUGAGGCUACUUAGGGCAUGUUUGUUUUAGGGCAUGUUUGAUUCGUCGAAAGUGCAGUAUCGAAAGUGAUACUUUUAGAAAGUGACGUCUUAUCGGUUAUUUGAUUUACAAAAGUGAAUAUAAAAGUUACUUUACGAAAGUGGGCUCAUAAAGUGAGUUAUAACUAAAUCUUACUUUUUUGACUUUGGUUCAAAAAAUUCGGAAGCCACCGAAAGUGGAGAGCUUAGCUAAGAUCGAGGUUAUAUUUGGUCUUAACUUUAAUAUUUAAAUUUAUUUUUAAAGUUUAAUUUCACUUUAAAUUUGAAUUAAAAUUAUGAUCACAUUUUGAAUUUUAUUUAUCAAUUAAAAUUCAACAUAAAAUUUUAGAUUUCUGACUUUAUAUUUAAAUUUAAAAUUUUAUUUUUAUUUUUAUUUAAAGUUGAAUUCUAGAAUUUAAAUUUAAAUUUUAAGUUUUAAACUUUAAUCAAAUUAUUUUUAGUUAAGAACUUCAAUUUGAAAUCUGAAUUCAAAUUGUUCUAAGUAUAAAUUCAAAUUAUUUACUGAAAUUUAAAUUUAAAAUUUAAAAUUUCAAGUUAAAAUUCAAAUUUAAAUUUGUUAUUUACAUUUAACUUCAAUAAUGAGUUUUAGUCUGAAUUUGAAUUCAAAUUAUGAAUUCAAAUGUUCGAUUCGAAUUGUGAUUUAAAUUCAUAUUUUAAUUUAAAUUUAAAUAUUAAUUUAAAUUGUGAAUUCAUAUUUGAAUUGAGAAUUUAAGAUCAAAGAGUAAAUUAAUAUAUGAUUCAAAUUAUAAAUUCAAAUUUGAAUAAAUUUUCUAAUUUUUGUGUUGAACUUUUAUUUUAAAAUUUAAUUUCACUUAUAAGUUAUAACUUAAAUUUUUAAUUCAAAUUGUAAAUUAAAUUUAUGUCUUAAAUUUUUAAUUUAAAUUGCAAGUAUAAGUCGUUUGUUUAUAUUUUUACCUCUUUAUAUAUAAUUUAAUAAUCAAAAUAUAUAAAAUUGUAGUUUUAAUUUUUUACUUUAUAGCAACCAAACAAUCGAACUGAAAAGUCACUUUUAUAAAAGUGACUUUUAUAAAAGUGAUUUUUUCCACUUCACCGACUUUCGAGUAACCAAACACGCCCUUAUCGAAACUGAGCUUUGGGUUGAAGUGGAGUUCGAAAAAAACUAUUUCUUUCCCGUUGUUUGUUUCGUAGUUAUAGAAGUGAAGUUCCAUUAGUUUUAUGGUUUGUUUGGUAGGAAGUGUAUAAUAUAAAACUAUAAUUUAUAUAUAAAUAAUAAAUAUUUUAAUAAAUAAAAAUAAUAUAAUUAUAUUUUUAUAUAANAUAUUAAAAAUUAACUAAUCAAUUUUUAUCAUAUCUUAAAUAUGCUAACUGAAUAAAAGUGUAAUUAGUAAUAUAAUUAAAUAUAUUUAAAUAUAAUUAUCUUUAUCUAGUAUAUUUUUUUUUCACCUCUCUUCACCGUAAUUGACUUCGGUCCACGAAGAAGUAAAGUCAAUUACGCCAUUUGAAAUUAACUCGAGUUUAGACUGUACCUUUUUUAAGACGAACCAAAUAAUGGAAGUGAUCAGUUAUGCCGAAAACGACUUCUCUCCUCUCCACUUCCACCCCACUUCCAUCCAAACAAACACGCCCUUAGCGAAGCAUUAUUGGGGCCAAUCUGCAUAAAAAAUUCAAAAAUUUUUAGCUUUUGUAAAAUUAGGCCACUAUUUUGAGUUUUGCAAAUUCAAUCUGAAUUUUCCAAAAACUGACCAAAAUACUAUUAUUUUCUUUUCUCUCUUUUUUUUUAUGUUUUUUUUUUCUCUCCAACCCUUCUCUACUGCCUCCGCAGCCUUUUUUGUCAACAACAAGGCGGUCCGCCUUCUCUUCCUGCACUUCUUUUUUUUUUUUUACUUUCUUUUUUUUUGUCUCUCCGACUUUCCUCCAUCGCCUCUGCGAUCAUCUGCCACGAUAACGACGGCGACGCCACCUCCUCUUUUGAUGCCGACAUCGGAGAAGAAGGAUUUAAAGCGAGUGUGAAUUAGAGCGGAACGAACGAAAGCGAUGAAGUCGUGGCCGAGAUAGUGCUCGUUGUUGCUCAUGAGGGUGAGAACGAAAACGUGCCCACACUUCUCCAAAGAGCGCUUUUGAUGGCUGCAACAGAGGGCGAAGGAGAAGCCGUGACAAAGUGACAAAAAAAAAAAGGGAAAACUUAAAAUACCCCCGUGGUUUCGCACUUUCUUACUUUAGUACCCUAUGGUUUCAAGUGUAUCAAGUUAGUACCUUGUGGUUUCACACUUUCUCACUUUAGUACCCUGUGGUUUAAUAUUUCGUUAAAUUAUAUACCCCGAAAUGGAUAAUAAAAAGAGAAAAUUGAAACCAUAAGGUACUAACUUGAUAUAAAAAUAAAACCAUCGAGUACUAACUUGAUACGCUUGAAACCACAGGGUACUAAAGUAAGAAAGUGCGAAACCACAUAGUACUAACUUGAUAUACUUUAAACCACAUGGUACUAAAGUGAGAAAAUGUGAAACCACAAUGGGGUAUUUGAAGUUUUCCCUAAAAAAAUUAUUAAGAGAAAAAAAAUUAGAAUAAUAAAAAAUAAAAAAAUUUCCUAUAAAAAAAAUAAAAAAUUAUUAAAAAAAGAAAAUAAAAUUAUAUUGUUAAAAUAAAUUAAAAUUAUUUUUAAAAAAGUUGUACCGUUUUAUACGAAAGUUACACUUUUUGAGACAAUAAUUAUACUUUUGAUAUGAGAGUUAUACUUUUUAGACAAAAGUUGCACUUUUUGAGUAAAAUUUAUAUCGUUUCUCUUUUUUUUCCCCUCUUACUCUUCCUCCUUUCUCACUACAACAUAAUUAGGUUAUAGCGACACAUGUUUGGGACACUUUUGUGUAAGUGUCCCAUUUAUGCCAAAACUUAAAAAAAAAUCUACUAAUGUCUAAAUAAAAAGCCCAAUCUAACAAAAAAUAAAAGGUUACUCUAUUCAACCCGCCCCACCCAGCCUAUUCGGCCCGAUUACAAACAGAAAAGAAAAAAAAAAUCAAUUACCAUCUCCCCUUCUCUCCUUACUCAAUCCACUGAAAUUCUAGACGAAGAGCCCUUCCCUUUCCUCAUCCUUCGCCACUGCAGCCAACGAGAUAGAGUUCCGGCGGUUGCUAAAUGCUUCAAUAAGCGUUAGCAAAUUAGCAGCACUUUUUUUGGCUUAUAUCGACACUCUUUAACUGUCACUAUAUAUCUAGCGACCCCACAUAUAGCAACACUUUCUAAAAGUGUAGGUAAUUUAGCCAGCAGCAUUUUUUUUGACAUGUACCGACAUUUAAAAGUGUCGCUAUAGACCGUUUUUGUUGUAGUGUCUCUCCGAUUUUUUGUACUUUUCAAACACCCAUCCAAGACUGACGACACAUGUGGUGGAGGCAGAUGACGUCGAAGAACAAGGCGGCGAAGGCAAAGGUGGCGGCGGCCCGCCAUGCCUUCGCCCUACAAGAGGUGCGCCUCGGCGGUGGGCGUAGGUAAGGAUUUCCUGCCUUGCCUUUCCGUAGCGAGGAGUGCACGGGCAAGAGCACGACACGCAUCCCACCGGUGUUUCUUACCCGCACCUGCGCACCCCCUGCCUUGCCUCCGCCCCCAUUAACGCGUGAGGGCGCGGUGGAGAGUAGAGGCAAGGUGGUGACAUCAAUGGGGACGAAGGCGAGGCGGGGGUCCUCACCCGCGGUCGCGCACCACCUACAGGAUGGAGGCGAGGUGAGCCGCCGCCGUCGCCGCCACCGUCGCCUCUGCCUCUGUCACCCUCUUCUCUGGUGUCGUCGCGCUCUCCUCCGCCUCCACUACGCGUUGCCGACCAAGGAUAGACAUAUAAAAAGUAUGAGAAAAUGGAAGGAAAGGAAGAGGAAGAAGAGGAAAAAAAUAAAAAAUGAUGUAAAUUUCACUCAAAGAGUGCAAGUUUCGCCUAAAGAGUGUAACUCUCAUCUCAAAGAGUGUAAUUUUUAUUUUGAAGAGUUCAACUUUUAUAUAAAAUAGUGCAAUUUUUUAAAAAAUAACAUAACUUUAUUUUAACAGUAUAAUUAUCAUUUUCUUACUUCUUAUAUGAUUUUUGAUUUUUUUAAAAAAUAUUAUUUUAUUUUAUUUUUUAUUAUUCUUAUUUGUUUCUCUCUAAUUUUUUUUUUUUUAUUCUCACAACCUCUUCCUCGCUCUCUAUCGUAGCUAUCACCCUCGCCGGAAGCGCUCUUUGGAAAAGCAUGGGAACGUUUUUAUUUGUAGCCUCACGAGCAACAGCGAGCACUAUCUCGGCCACAGCUUUAUCACCUCCGUUAGUUCCGCUCUUAUCCGCACUGCCUUUGAAUCCUUUUCCUUCGGCAUCGGCAUUGAAAGAAGAGGCGGCGCCAUUGUCACUAUCACAGAAAACUGUGGAGGCGAUGGAAGAAAGUCGGAGAGAAAAAAAAAAUGUGAAAAAAAAAGAAGUGGAGGAAGAGAAGGUGGGUCGUCCUAUUGCCGUCGAGAAAGACUGCAGAAAUAAUGGAAGAGGAUCGGAGAGAAAAAAAAAAGAAAGAAAGAAUAAUUUGGUUAGUUUUCUAAAAAUUCGGACAAAAAUGCAAAAUUCAAAAUAAUAAUAUAGUUUUGUAAAAACUGAAAAUUUAUGAAUUUAUUAUGCAAAUUGGCCCAUUAUUGGGGGAGUUUUUGGCUGAUUUAGUUUUUUUUCCAUUUUUACCGGAACCUCCCUUUGUGGCCGUUACCAGAAAUGCACAAGCUGCAGGUGGAUAAUAAACGGCGUUAACCCCUGCGUUAUGAUUUUUUAUAGCGCGCGAGUCGGUGGGCCCCGCGCCCCGACGAAAACGACAGGUAGGGCGGGCGAGGAUCUCGGGCCCACCCACCUCUCCCCGGCGCACUCUCCCAGUCUCCCACUCCCUCUUCUUUUAACGUGAGCAGUAAAAUUGCGCCACGUGGCAGCGAGUUCCGAUCUGGGAGGAUCAGCGCGAUGCGGGGCGGGAUCGUGAGGUCUCGGCUUUUGAUUUUGUCCAUCUCCCGUGCCACGUCGGACGCACUUGGGCCGUUACCCACCUCCAUUUGUGCCACGUCACCCGGAGACGGACCCCUAAUAGUAAUAUAUCUUCCCCGCGGAUAUCUUUUUCUUUAUCCUCUCUCUCAGCGUCCCACCCCUCCCCCCUCCUUAGUAGCAGCUAUGGUCCUCGGAGCUCUUCACCCCUCCUCCUCCCCGCCGCGCCAUUCCUCUUCUCCCACGUGAUACAAAAGCCUACUGCGGAUCGAGCUCGGAGAAAGCGAAACCCUAAUCCUCUCCUUGUGCUCUGGUUCGUUGUUUUGGGUGUUCGUCUCCUCUUUGGUCGAGGAAUCGGAACCGAAGCGGAUCUCCGGCGGUUCUCGCUUCGGCCCGCCGGGUUCGGCGAUCGAUCGGAGCGCGCCAUUUUCGACCAGGACGAGCGGUAUCGAUUCUUCCUCUAGCCUGUUUAGAUUCGUUUUGCGAACUCGCGGAUUUGUGGUUUGUCGAAUCCAUUCUCAGCUAUCGAUUCGAUUCUUUCUCGCAGAAGCUCAAUCUGCGUUGCGAUCUCCCGUUUCGAACCUUGAAUCGGCGAUCUUCUCGGAGAACCAGAGGUUUUGUGUUUGUCCUUUGCUGAUGCAAACUUUUUUUUUUCCCAGGUUUUUGGCUCGUCCGAUUUGUAGAAACCCUUGCUCAUGUUCUUUUCGUUGAAAUCUCUUCGCUCUCUGAGUGAUCCUUGAUCUAGUUGCAAGGAUAUUUGAUUAACUUUUGUUCUUAUUGAUCCGUAGGAGGCUAAAUUUCGAGAGCAAUUAGGGUUUCUCAUACAUCGUACCCCCCUUUCAAUUAAAGAACAGUGAAAGGAAUCCUUUCCAAGGCCAUUGAGCUUGCCAUAGAUCACAUUGUCUUGGCGUUUCAGAGGUUUUGUGGGCAAUUAACUUCAUCAUUUAUGUAAGUGAUUCUAGGGCAUUGAUUAUGUGGCUUCUUUUAUCUGAUAUAACAACUAAUACGUUCUUGUCUCUGUGACCUGGAAAGCAGCUUGGAGUAGUUUGAAGAUAAUUAAGCUGUUCCUGAAGACGAACGAUUAUGUCCAGGGUCUGUGCGAAGGAGAAAUCAUCUCCACUCACGGUUAGCACCAUUUCCAGUCUCUUCAAGUCCAGUGUAUGGGAAGUUCCCAUCUAGUGAGUACGGAGGGGGUUGUCCACAAAGGGCUGGCGGAACUAAACCGCCAUGUCCUAAAUGAACCGAAGGAAGUUAGGAAUGGUGUCGUCAGGGAGGGCCAUGGGCUCUCUGAAGAAGAUGAGUCAAGGAUUAAUGAGGUGGAAGAUAUGCAAUACGAUCAUGCUAGAGAUUCUGCAUUCCUAGCACAAGAGGGUGAUUCGCAGAAGCAGCAGAAAGGCCCAAUCAUACAGUGGGAGAGGUUUCUUCCUGUCAGAACGCUCAAGGUUUUACUUGUGGAGAAUGAUGAUUCUACCCGCCAUGUGGUCAGUGCCUUGCUCCGUAACUGUGGCUAUGAAGGUACAUAGACAAACUCUAUCAUCUUUACUUUUAAAAUAUUGAAUCAGCUUUUGUCGCACUUCAUUUACUUAGUGCAGUGCUUAAACCAAGUAUGCAAAUCAUCUAAUAUAUUGUGUGUUACCACAAUCUUUUCCCAAGUCUACUACCAUUGGGAAGCAAUAUUUAUCUUUCAGAGCUUUUCAUGACCAUUUGCAGAGUUGGUGCAAUAUAUCGUGUGCUACUGUUUCAGAAGUCGCAAACAUAACUUUCACAAUUUGAGGUAUUUUAGUACAGCAACAGAUAAAAACAUGUGUUAAAAAAAUUCUUCAAGGUUUAUAGGGACCAAAUUUCCUAUCUUGAAAGGAUCUAUUCUACUUAAUGGUUUUAGAUGACUAGUAUUCUUCCUGACAACCAGCAACAUCAUUGAGUGAGCUUUUGAUCUCACGAGCGGAUAUGUUGUUGGUAGAAUUGUUAAGACCUUGCCUGAACUACAGCACAAUUUAAGCAGGUGCCUGAACUUUAAAAGUUUUGAUAUUGCUAGCUAACCUUUCAAAGUUUUAGAAGUGCCUGCAUGAAAAAUUUAAAGUUUUGGUUUUUCUACCCAGUGGUAAAUUAUCUAUAACAUUUCUGUUGGAAUAUUCUGUUGCCUAAAUGAAUAUUCUAUUACUUGAUUAAAUAUUCUUUAGCCUUUCAACCGAAACGGUUGAAUUCUAACACUGAGGGGCUGUUUGGCAACCAUAGAAAUUAAAAACAGAGUUUUAUAUUUUAUUGUAAUAGAUUGGUACCAAAAUCUUAAUAAUUCAUAAUUUUUUACCCCUUUUUUUAGUGUUUGGCUCAAAUUUUGAAAAAAAAAUACUAUAAUAAAAAAAAGCCCACCAUCACCACCAUCACUACCAUAUUUUCUUUGCUUAGACCCAGCCCUACCACCAUCACCUUUUCCUUGCCCAAACCCACCACCACCACCUUCUCUUUCCUAUUCAAACUCAAUACCUCUUCAUCUUUCCCACCUUCAUCACCACUUUUCGUCUCAAAAACCCAAUACAAAGAACCUACUGGUGUCCCAUCUCGAAGCGACGCCUAUGGGAGACAGCAGUUGUGGCGGAGGGCAUAGGGGAGGUGGAGAGGCGCAGUCGACGGAGUGGGAGAGCUUGUGGGUGUCAGCAGUGGGGUCAAGGAGGAUAUAGUGGUGGAGGGGCGCACAGUCGGUGUCUUUGGUAGCGGCGGCAUUGGUGGCGUCGUCGUCGGCACCAUUGUUGUCAUCGUCAUCGGUGGGAGUAGAGGGAGAGUGAGGAGGGGAGAAAAAGAGCCAGAAGAACGAAAAGGAACGGAGGAGUGAGAGGUGGGGGAAGUGACGGAUUAGUAGAGUAUUUUUUAAAGAAGUCCAAGAAGUCUUUUUUUACCCCAAAAUUACCCUAUAAGAUCUAUAUUAUGGAGUAAUUUUUUUACUUUAUUGGACCUUCCAAACGGGCCAACUAAAAAGAUAAAGAAGUUUUUUAGAAAACAGAGUAAUUUAACUUAUUACUUUUUAUUGGGGGUUUGCUAAACACACCCUGAAAUUUUCUGAAAUCAAAAGUAAUGAAAUUUUAGGUUGUAGAAACAAAAUUUUAAAGUUCAUUUAUCCAUUUCAAAAUGCACUAUGUAUGUUCAUACCUUUGUUAUAAAAAUUCUAGAUUAUACAACAUUAACCCCUUUAUGCUAUCUUUGCCAUCUCCUUGUUCCUUUCUUGAGCUGAUGUAUUAAUCCUAUUAUCUUCGUUGAAAUCCUACGAGUACACAAAUGUUGUUAUUUUUGUAUUGCAGUUUUUCUUUUGAACCAACUUAUCACAGACUUAACCGUAAUCACUUGUCAAACUUGUGCGGCACUCGCCUUCCUCCAUGAAGUGAGCAAGCCUGCCUCUCUGCUCGCUAGCCUGGAUCUACUCGUCCAAAGACAAAGUACAAGAGAGAGAGUUUGAGGAAUGUUGUACUGUAUUAGAGAGUAGAAAGAUGUUACAAUUGAAUUUCUGAGGAGCGGGGGUGGAGGCCACAAUUAUAUAUAGACCACUCACCACCCAAGCUAACAAAAGAAAAGCGCUAAGUGGCGCAAAACUACAAGCCAAAGAGGGAAGCUACGAACUCCCAAGAGACUACACUUAUUACUCUCCUAAAAAGUCUAAGGGACUCUUGACCCUUCGAUAUCUGUGUCCACAGUCUCGAUACCCAUAGAGAUGCUUCUAGAAGGUCCCAGCAAAACAUCCAACAAUAAUCUUCUUUGUAGUUUGGGUGAUUGCAAAGGGAAAAUCACGAAAAAAUAUUAUGUUCGUGACAAACCACUUAGCAAGGGAAUAUUGACAAUUCGGGUGUAAUACUCGUAUACAAUUAAUUUAAAUUAAAAUUAUAAUAUGCAGGUGUGAUUGGGGUAUUGAGACGAACCCAGUAAUAUAAGUUCCAAUUUAUUUGAGCCAUUGAAUUAAGCCGAUUCGAUUAGAUUUAAGUUAAUUAAACUCCAAUUUUAAUUAGACUAAGAUUAGGAUUAACCCCUUUUUUUUACCUACAAAUAUGUGUAUGGGGAUGUUGUACGGCUAGGGAUUGUGGUCGACUUCUCCGCAUGCAUGUGAAAGAUCAACGGCGAUUAGGAACGAAUCCGGCAAUCGCGAGACAAGAUAACGGGAGAGGUAAGUUUCCAUUAAAUUUCUCUCCUUCUUUAUCUCAUUUUUUUCCUAUUUUCUUUUUUCCAUCUCCCCGCCGCACCCACGGCUAGUGUCGUCGUUGCCAUAGAGGCCGUCGGCCACCUAUCAUACACUAGGCAGAUUUCAUUUGGGCGGCGAACAUGAUAGUACCAAGUAGAGGUGUCAACGAGCUGAACACGAGCGAGCUGGGAUCGCCUCGUGAACACGAGUUGGCUCGUUAAAGUAUCAAGCCGAAAAAUUUAGCUCGUUUAUUAAUGAGCUGAAUACGAGCCGAACACGCGCUGACUCACCAACAAUAAGUUAAAAGGAUUAGAAAUAUUAUAUAGAAAAUAAAUUUAUAAGAUUGUACCCAUCAAGCUUUGAUCUAAUAGUUGAAACUUUACAUAUACAUGGGCAUUUUUAUAAUUGAUUUGGGCUUUAUAUUUAGGUUGAACUAAAAAUUAAAUAAUAAAAAUUUAUAUUAUAUUAUAUAAUUAAUUAUUUAUUUAUAUAAUUAUAAAUUAUAUAAAUAUAAAAUAUAUGUAUUCGAGCUGUUAUUGAGCCGAACACAAACGAGCUGACCCCAGCUCGUGUUCGCUUCGUUUAUUAUACGAGUUGAAAAAUUUAGCUCGUGUUCAGCUCGUUUACUAAACGAGCUAGUCGAUCUCGAGCUUAUUUUGAGCCGAACACGAGCUGGCUCGCGAAUGGCGAGCUGGAUUGUCACCCCUAGUUCCAAGUGGGUUUGAGAGGAGAUAUGACCGAAGAAAAUGAGAAAAGGAGUAAAAAGAUAAACUUGCUUAGAUCUGGCGAGACCCGAUCCAUAGUGGACUAUAAUGAAAUUUUUCAUGAAUUAAUAUACCUUGGAUUUAAUCUAUCAUAAUAAUUUCUUAGAUGCAAUUAUUUAUUAUUCACUAUACUGUAUGUGAUAUUAGACCGGAAAAGCCGCUGGUACACGCCGCAGUGUUAGACCGGGUGCAUCGAAUUCUGCAAACUAUUAAUGGCUUAAUUGAGCAGUCAAGGACCAAUCUGUAAAUAGCAUUUUUGGUUUUUAGAGGCUAAUUUAUUUUGUAAACAACUGUUGCGGUCAGAUAUCUUGGAGGAAAGUAAUUUAUUCUGUACGCGGUUUUCAAAGAGGAACGAUUCGUAAUUGUAGCUCUCGUAGUUAGAGCAACGGAGUGGAGGCGCUCCAACUUAUAACUGUUACAGUUUGAAUUUAAAAUUAUUAUUUAUUUUAUUGAAAGUAGAUUACUUGUUAAGCAUUGCGCUUCCUUUUGUUAUCUACCGUUUCAGCUACCGGAGUCGAGGCAUGUGAGAUAAUCGACGGACGAGGACUUGCUAGAUAGACUUGACUCACUCGGACGCUUAGUUUAUUUUGAUUCAGCUAGAUUGAAUAGAAUUAUUUUUCUUCACUCGGACACUUAGUUUAUUUAUUUAUGCACUACAAUUAGACUUUAGUAGUUAUUGCCCAACUUCAUUUUAAUUAGUAAAUUAUUUUAUUUAGUCUUUAAUUGAGAAUGUCGCUUUGGAUCUACUUAAAGCCUUCUGUUUUUGGAGAUUCUUCCUUCUAAUUUGCGGCCGGUUGCUAUGGUUCGGAUCCAAGUAGUCGGAUCCGGAGCGUGACACAAGGAAUGACAUUACAAAACUUUCUUCCUUUUUCAGCUUUUGGUAGCAUAGUUAUUGUAAUUAGUUGUAGUAACUAUGGGUAGGAUCACCUAACUAUUUUGGCUUCAUUACUUCGAAUGUUGAUGGUUUGGUCAUCUUAAUCUUUUGUGACUUAAUUUAGGUUAGGCUCAAAGGCCGGUUGUUUGUUUCACCUAUUUAUAUACUGGGGCAAUGGUCAGUUAUGUAUGUAACAAAUUGGCCUAGCUUACUAGUAUUAGCAAUAUGUUGGGCCUAAUACUAGCAAAAUACUUAAAUCCAAGUUACUUAUUCUAGAGUUCUCGUCUUUAUGUACAAGAAGAUAUAGUCCUUUCUCAAUCCAAUAGGGAGUGUUAGGGGGUGUUACAAUAUAUUCCUUAGCCUGCAAAUUUUUGGGGUAAUUUCUAAUUGGAUGAAGUGUUGCCAUGGCUAUGCUUUCAGAAGAAGUAUUAUAUUGAAAUCUCUUCAAUGGAUUCUCUAAAAUCUCUUCCUGAUAUCUGUUAUACUAGAAGCACUAGACAUUUCCUUUUGCCAAAUGCUUUACCAGGGGAGUCUGUUGCUGAGAGUUGUAAAGCCACAAAUGGCUUACUUUCAGUCUAGCAUAUCUUUCAUUACUCUUCUAGAUAUUCACAUUCCUUUCUAUAUUACUUUAUUACUUUUUCAGUUACUACUGCUACAAAUGGCUUACAAGCAUGGAAAAUCUUGGAGGAUUUGACAAAGCAUAUUGACCUUGUCUUGACCGAGGUGGUCAUGCCUUCUUUAUCUGGGCUUGGUCUUCUAAGCAAAAUCAUGAGCCACAAGACUUGCAAGAAUAUUCCAGUGAUUAGUGAGUACCCUUCCACAAAUUUAUAUUUUGAAAAAUUGUUCUAUUGAGUUUUUCAAUUUUGAUACUUUUAACUGCUACACCUGAUGAGCUUUGUGUGCAGUGAUGUCAUCAAGUGAUUCUAUGGGUACAGUGUUUAAAUGUUUAUCAAAAGGUGCAGUUGACUUUUUAGUGAAACCUAUCCGUAAGAAUGAGCUUAAAAACCUUUGGCAGCACGUUUGGAGGAGGUGUCAUAGUGUAAGUUGCUAUGGAUCUACUCUUCAAUUUGGUGGUUUACUUUGUUGCUAAUUUUAAAUUUGUUGUUUUACUUUGUUGCUUACUUGUGUGGAAUAUAUUUGACUUUGUUAUGAAUGGAAUAGCUUAUUUUUAUGUUUCAGUCCAGCGGUAGUGGAAGUGAAAGUGGAAUUCAAACGCAGAAAUGUGCCAAUUCAAAGAGUGCUGAAGAGUCUGAUAAUAAUAGCGACAGCAAUGAUGACGAUGAUAAUGGGAGCAUUGGUUUGAAUGCAAGGGAUGGAAGUGAUAACGGAAGUGGAACUCAGGUAUGCACUGCAGUAAGUAAUUAUUUUUCAUGACACUUUUCUGAGAAGUUUUACUUAAAGAAGCGUAGGGAAUACUAAUUAAUCACUUCAUUUUUCAGUAGAAUUUGGUGAUGUUUAACUGAUAUUUGUUAUCAAAUAUGGUCUCUCGAACAAGACUUAAAGGGAUCUUAUGCUGUGUAAUACAUGCUGGUGAAUUUGCAAAAGUAUAUUGUUAGAACUCAGGGCUUGAAAAUAGCAGCAUAGCCUUUAUUGUGCUUCUCUUACUUCUAUGAUCAUAAACCUGAUUUAUAAGUUUCAAGGUCUAAUUCUUUGAAGUACAUGAUAUUUGAAAUUAUUGCUACCCUUUGGAGCUGGGAGCCAGGCUUGCGUUGCCCCAACAUCUAAAUAAAGGGCGGGGAUGUGCCUACAGCGACACUUUAGACCUUUGUUGAUGUACAUGGAUUGUUUUUCCAGCUGGUGGAGCUUUGUCGUUUUAACAUACCUACAGUUCAUUUGAAAUUUUCUUUGACACAUACAACCAUCACAAGUAUGAAUUUCUUGUAUAUUACUAAGGUAAGCUUCAUAAGUCAGAUCAUGUAUCAUAAAUGUAUUGCCAAGAUAGUGGAAAGAGUUUGGCAUCUAAGAUCUAACUAAGGGCUCAUUGGGCUUAUAGUCCUAAUUCAAGAAGAACCCAGAGUAGUUAGUUGAUGUCAUUAAAUUUUGAAAGGCACAAGGUGCGUGCUAGGGCUCCAGAAGCCUAGUUGCAAGGCACGCGCUUAAGGAGGAUGAGUCUCACAUCUACCAGUAAACAUGUCAUUCUAGUCUUGACGUGUUAUACAUUUCUGUUGUGGGUGCUCAAGAUGCUGCAAUGGCAACAAAGAAGAGCAAAGCUUCAAGCCCAAGUAGCGAGUUAGGCAUUUUUACUGGGACUAUCAUAGAUAGAUUUAAUAUGCAAUCUUACCUGCAAACCAACAAGAUCUGUUUUCAUGAAACUCAUCUACUUCAAUGAGGGAGACAUGAUGAUCCCAAGUUCUACUGAGAGAAAACAUAAACUGUGGCAUUGCAUGUUUCAUUGAAGUCAUUACAUCCUGAUCCUUUAACAUGCAGAGUUCCUGGACAAAACGUGCUGUGGAUGUUGACAGUCCCCAACCUAUGUCUCCAUCAGAUCAGUUGGCAGAUCCACCUGAUAGCACUUGUGCACAAGUGAUUCACCCAAGACCUGAAAUAUUCUGUAACAAACAGCUGCCUCUGACUAGUAACAAAAGUUGCCGACGACAGAAAGACUUUGCUGGUAAGAUAUCUAGAGAAGAAGAAAAAGAUAAAGAUAAAGGGAGUUUAAUUACAAAUUUGGUCCUUGAAUUUUACGAAAAUCUAAAUUUAGUCCUUGAUUUUUUUGCUCUUUAUUUAACAAUUAUGCCUGAAUGUUUGGCCCGUUCAAUUUUGUUCCCAAUGUUUGACCUUGAUUUUAGUUGUGUUUUCAAAGUUUCAACCAUAACAGAGAAAAUCUAUCCAUGUUGAAUCAAGCUUUCUUGUUCUAGGUUCCUAUGUAGCACUUUGCAUUUACCUAACGAGUUGAAAUCAAUGUCGAACAUAAGGGAAUAAAUUUGUAACAAAUCCAAACAGGAAAAAAAAAAAAGAAGCUUCUUUCUGCACCAUCCUAUCAUUUUUAGCUGAAUUCGUCAUCUAUUUUGCAGAUGACUUCAUGGGAAAGGACUUAGAAAUCGGAAUGCCUGGAAACUCAGCUACAGAUUAUGAGUUAUACCAAACAGAGCAGGUUAAUUCCAAGCCAACAGGUGCAAUCUUUGAGAAAAUGCCUCCUGAGAGUGGCCAAAAGAGUGAGGGAGUGAUCGGACUUGAUGGCAGCAACACUUCCGACGAACCAAGAGCUCAAGCAGCUGAUCUGAUAGGUGUGAUGGCCAAUAACACGGAAGUUCAACAGGCAGCCAAAUAUGUCCCAAAUGGCUUCUCUAAGACCAUAGAUGGAAAAGGCAAAAGCACCGAUGGCUUUUUUGAAUUACCCUCCCUUGACUUGAGUCUAAGGAGGCUAAGAUCGGUUGGAGAUGGCAUAUCUCCAAACACGGACGAUCGCAACGUUCUACGACGAUCAGAUCUAUCAGCAUUUACAAGGUGCCAAAAAUAAUAUCAGUGUCCUCUCUAUCCUAUUAUAUCAACAAGAACUUGCUCUCUUAUUGUUUGUUACACUCGUUGCAAGGUACCACAUGUCUGCUGCUUCGAAUCAAGCCCUGACUGGUUAUGGAGGAAGCUGUUCGCCACUCGAUAACAGCUCAGAGGCCGUGAAGACUGAGUCAACAUACAACAUGAUAUCCAAUUCAAAUGCCGCUCCAAUUAAGCAACGGUCCAAUGGUAGCAGUAACAAUAAUGAUAUGGGCUCCUCCACCAAGAAUGUAGUCACUAAGCCAUCAGCGGCUACAUACAAGGAAAAAAUAUCAUUACCAUCCGCAGUCAAGGUUGGUAUUCAAUAUACCUCUGCCGUCCACCCCAUGCAGUUCCGAGCCUCGGCUUCUCCUCAUGUUGUCCAAGACAAAGCUGAUGAGGCGAUGGCAGGUGGUGCGGUGGGAGGACAACAAAGGGAAGUACAGAAUCAGGUGCAGGUUCGACAUCACCAUCACCAUUACCACCACCAUCACCACCAUGUUCACAGUAUGCAGCAGCAGCAGCAGCAGCAGCCACUGGAUAAUGACUUGUCCCUUAAGAACAUAGCAGCAUCAGGCACCCAGUGUGGUACGUCAAAUGUGUUCACUGGUGGCUUAGUGGAAGGUCAUGCUGCGAAUUAUAGCUUAAACGGGAGCAACUCGGGAAGUAAUCAUGGGAGCAACGGGCAAAAUGCGAGCAACACUGCCGCAAAUGGUGGAGAAGGAAUGAACAUAGAGAGUGCUAAUGGAGCUGCAGAUAAAUGUGGGGGGGGUGGUGGGGCCAAUGGGAGUGGGAGUGGAAGUGGAAGCGGUGUGUACCAGAAUUGGCUUGCACAGAGAGAGGCUGCGUUGAACAAGUUCAGGCAGAAAAGGAAAGAGAGGAAUUUUGGGAAAAAGGUAUCCUGUUAUCAGUUUCAUCUUCUUUUUUUUAUCAGCAACAAGUAAAGGAUAUUUCUCAAAAAAAAAAAAAAAACAAGUAAAGGAUUACAAACAUCAACUAAUUGUGUUUUAGUUUUGCAAAAAUAAAGCUUAAUCCACCACUUCCCGGUUUAAUUUACCCAUAUGCUUGUAGAUAUGCAAUUUGUUAGUUUAAAAAAAAAAAAAUGAGGAAACAAAAUUAGAAAUAUAAAUUUUGAAAAAUAACAGAUUUAGUCUGAUUCUUCUGCAUUGUAGUUGGUAAGUUGGACAACUUGCACAAGAUAUAGAAGCUCUGAAGUCAGAUCAGAUAGUUCAGCACCUGCCAAAUUCUAAUUCCUUUUAUUUCUUUUUUGUUGUUGCUUUACUUUAGUGUUGCAUACUAGUUUGGAGAUUCGAAAGGGACUGGUUUCUUUUUUUAUGCUUUUUUUGUUUUCAGGUGCGCUAUCAGAGCAGGAAGAGGCUGGCCGAGCAGCGGCCACGUGUUCGUGGGCAAUUCGUACGCCAAACUGCACUUGAACAAAUGGGCCUGAAAGCGGAAAGAUGACGCAAUCUUUAAUUUCCAGAAUUGCUAUAUAUGCUUGCAAAAAGUACCAAUCAUAAGCAGGCAAUGGAUUCUGCUGCUUAGAGCAGCUCAUUCAUGAAUAGCACCUAGGAUUGAACUCGUGAGAAUACUAAAUAAUAGACCCACUUAAAAGUGUGUAUUAUGACUUCUUGAUGACUCCCCUAUGGAUAUUUCCUCACCCUCCAAAGGGUUGCAAUCAGCUGUACUAGUAAAUGUACACGGGUUGAUGCUGUUUGUAAUGGUUUGUGUUCUUCAGUUCUUCUGUUACUGUUAUCUUGUAUCACAGUAGCUUAUCAGUUAGCUAAUUAUUUGAUCUAUCAGAUGUUUGUUUCUAAAAGCCAGUGGAUUAUAUUUUACCUCCCUAGAUGCAGAUGAUAAGUUGGUUUUCCUAAGGUGGCGAAUAGCUACUGAAUCAGCUUAUCGCCACUCAAAUGUCCACUUUAGAUGCCAAUCUGACUCACCGACAACUGUAUUCAGGACAUCCUUUGGAUACCUGUAUUGUUACUCAGAGUAGGCGAGCUGUGGUAGUAGGCACCCAUCGAAUGAUAUCAUGGGGCCAUCGGGCCAGAGUAUGAUCUCGGCUACCCUGGGUGGAAACCUGCUGGUUCCUACGCUAGUCAAUACCUACUCUCUCAGCGGCAAGUACGACUCCGACAGGGAAAUGGUUGUGGAGAGUCAACAUUGGUCUUGGCAGUCUGAUAUCCGGAUAAUUAUGGCAGUCAUCCAUCUUCGAUGGUUCCUCCUGUUUGCAUCAACUUAUUCUUCUGAUGCUCAAGAUUUACAACCUUACCAAGUAAACUUUACGUCUGCUCAACCUUUUGACUCUGUACAACAGAAGAUGAUAAACAUGCUGGCCCUUGUUGAAAUUCAGGCCCCAAAAUUCAUGGCUUAAAAUGGACCAUAUAUAUAACAAUCUGUGUGGCAGUACAGUUUCUUUACAAAACUAUGACUAAUGAAGCAACCAAAUUAUCAGAGCUGUAAUAAAAUUUCAGAAAACAUCAAUGGACUUUCUACUGUGUAUAUAAGAGCAGUACCUCCAAUUGCAGGAAGAAAUCAACAACUUAAUGAAUCAAAGGUCUCACAGGUUCCAGAUAAUGUCAGCACGAGUAGAAAGAAAUAAGAUAAUUAGAAGACUAUUGCAUAGUAAGUGCCCUUUCUUCCACUACUCUUUAUCUAAUUGUCUCACUAGUAUACAGGAGUAAGGAAACUGUGAAUACUAGAGGUUACAAGAAUUCUGCCGAUGCCUGCCUCAGAUGUAAAUACCUGAGAAUACAAGCUUCAGUGUCGACUUCCUGGAUAAAAAGUUUCAACACCAUUUUCCUUCACCUUGAAAUGGAAAUUCCGAACCUUUUGCAUUGGGCGUGCAUGAUCUUUAAAUAUCUCCUUAUUUACAAUAGUCAACUGUCAAAACAAAUGCAGUAGUAUAACAAAGAUAAGACAGCAAGCGUCGAUAACUUCCCGGAAAUCUAAAGAAAAAGAUGCAGAUGGUAAUAUAAGAUCAUAUGUUAAGAGCUAAAGUUUUAUUUUAAAGACGUUCAAUUUUAAAGCAUACUACCAAAAAGUAUCCCAUGGUACUCAGCUGUGUUUCAAAUAGUAUAUUAUAAUAAAUAAAUGUGAUUGAACAAUUAUGACACACAAAAGGCAUCAUGUAUAUUUACCUGUCCGUGCACAUCGGCAGCCAAACCAGUAUUCAAUGGUCCAACCUUUAUCAAAAAGUCUGAAAAGUACCGUAGAUGUGUAAGAAGUUCAUGGUCUUCCUCGGUUGCAUAAAUGUCUUCAUGGUUUAGAAUUACCAAUGAGCAAUCCUGUUUAAAAGAAUAUCACAAAGAUUUAAUUGGAGCAAGGAGUGAGAAAUAGCACCAGGUGAGACAAGCUUGGAACUAUCUAUCUAACCAUCACAGAGGUAAGGCUAAUGCAGUAGUGCAAAAAGUCCAAGACAUCGUCCAUAGAACCAUGAGCAGCAAUUUCCAAAAAAGAGAGGUCAUCUAUCAUUAUAUUAACACAGCCCUUGUUAUCUUCCUGCAAGCUGCAGCCUUCUACAACCCUUUGAAUCUCUCUGUACAAGUCUAAAAACCCACGGUUUGUGGCAUUUCCCUUUCUAAGACCUGUAUGUAAGCGAAAAUGUAAACAGUCCAUAGAUGGCUUAAACUGGUCAAAUCACAGUAUUUAUGUAAUUGACCAAAGGUGUAACUUGAAAGUUGAUUUUGAAAGGACAAACAGUUAAAAGACAGUACUUGAUCAAGUAACAUCAUUUACUUUCCCACUCACCUGGAUAUUCAAGCAAGUCAAAGAAAUGUAGCUUAUUGUUUUUCCGUUGCACAGAUAGAUUACAGCCCUGUAAAAGGAGAGUUAAAAUGGCUGCUUUCCUAUUGAAGUUUUCAAAGAAUAGAAUGUAUGUACGAAAACCAUAAUAGCGUGUAUUAAAAGCAAAACUCAGGAUGACACACCCGUCCCCAGUUCUUGAAUUCCUUUCUUAUCUAUAUCACAACCCUGUAAAAGGAGAGCUAGAAUUGGCGUCUUUCCUAUUGUAAGUUUUCAAAAAUAGAAUCCAUGUAAGAAAACCAUAAAAAUAUAUACUAGAAGAAAAACUAAGUAUGUCACUCCCCAGUCCCGAGUUCUUGAACUCCUUUGUCAAGCAAUUCAAAUUCAAAAACAGAGCAUUACAAUGUAGAAAAACUCUACAAAACAAAAAAAAAAAUUAUCAUAAAAAGUUAAGAACACCCUGAAAACACCAGCUUAAGUUAUCUUUAGAUGGGCACAGAUAAAUGUUAAGAUCAAACCAGUAUGAGUACGAGUUUUGUAGAACACAGAAUGACCUCAAUGAAGCUACCAAGGUUUGUUCAACAAAAUCCUGAAGUCUCAAAAAUAGAAAUUCCAAAAACUAGAUGCAUAUUAGUAAAGGUAAUACAAGAUAAUGGCACUCAAAUGCAAAAAAGUAUACUUAAACAUCCCAAAAAUUUCCAUGAACUUACGGCUAAAUACACCUAAACAUUCAAAAGAUCUACAUGAACUUUCCACUAGAAUCACGUCCUUGACAGGUAAUCAAUUGGCAUACCUGGGAACAAAUGAUAGUAACAAAAGUGAAAAUCCUUUUGACAAGCUACAUGUUUUUCUUAUAUGUGUUAUGUGUAAAACUGAUUCUGAGCCCUAAUAUCUUCCUCGGUCACUAACAACUCACCACAUAUGUUUAAAUUCAGUGGUGACCAUCUUUUAUACAGGAGCCAACAGUCUCAUAAUUAAAGCUGCUUCAAAACUUAGCCUCCAAAUGAAGAUUGAAUUCUUUUCAACAUGUAACUUUGUUUCAUCAGAAUGCAGGAUAAGUGUUUUAAAACCCAUAUGCAUGCUCUUGAUUGGCAUUAAACAACUUGCUUUCACAUUUUUUUUAUUCUUUACUGUUUAAUAUUUCUUAUCCAAGACAACUAAACCUAGAAAAUAGGACAUCCAGAUAGCAACAACUAGUUCCCAAAAAUUCUUCAGUUUGAUGGUCGUCAAUAACAACCUUUUGACAUAAGAGAAUUCACUAGAUCAAAAAAAAAAAAAAGGUCGGGCACCCUUGGUAUUAGGUGGCCAAGAAAAGGAUUGAGUAUUAUCUCUUCAUAAUUCAAGGGAAUUAUAAAUGUAUACCAACCUAUCCUCAACUAUUUCGAGAUUACAGACUUUGUGGAUCAGCAAUUGCUUAUGAGAAAGAAACAAGCUGCCGAAUUUUUUACUUCGAGCAAAAGUCUGCCCUUGCGUACAUGUCCCUUCUCAGAAAUUUGGAGAUCUACAUGAAGAAUAUGCCAUACAAAAACUUCAGAGACUCACUCGUAACUCCGGUAUCCUCCCUCUUGUGAAACCCUAGACGUCUUUCAAUUACCCCAUCUACGUUCAAACAAAGACGAAAUAAUCCUCUACUUUCUUACGAAAUGCACAACCAUGGAACAGGUAUAAAACCAUACCAAAAACUAUCCGAGUGCUAGGGUUUCCUCAAGAUCUAUCCUCCUCCCAAGACAAGAUCGAUCCAAACCCUAGUCACACGAGUUGAGCGGCAGCGCACCGAAACCGUUCGAGAAAAUGCCAACAAGAGCGCAACACGAGAUUAGGGCUUCCGACCAAGGAUCUCACCAGCUUACGGAGAAGGCGAUCGUAGUGGGCGAAGGGCUGCGCGAAGGCAAGGAAGACGACGGCGCCGCCGCCGCCGCCGCCGGAGGAGAGCGCGCGCUUCAAGAAGUGGUGGAGGACGAAGGCGCCGCUCGUCUCGACGCAGUCCUCCACGAGGACGACGACGCCGCCGCGGGGGAAUGGGGCGGCGGAUCCGGGGGCGAACCCCAUGGCCUCGUCGAGAAGGUUCGGGAGCUCGGCCAUCGCCCGCGCCAACCACGAACCAGAGAGCGGCGCCUUUCGAUUUUGCUCCCGCCCUAGAUAUAUAUAUAUGUGGCGACUUCGAGAAGAACCGUGGGGUUCAUUGGACCAAGUUGAACCCGGUCCACCAUGUCAGCCUUGAAUGGUCCAGUGAAUAUAUUCUAACCAGCAAAACUAUACUCACUCACAUUUUUUUUAAUAUCAUAUUUUUUUUGUGUAUUCGAACCAGCAAUACUAUACCCCUGUACAUUCUUUAUAUUGUUUUAUUUAUACGAUGAUAUGAAGUAUUUUUAUUGAAAAACAUUAGUAAUUUAUUUGGACGUAGGUUGUAAUCUACCGAUGUUACUGUAAUUGCAGUGGUCAAAAAAUAAUAAUGAAAAAUUAUCACGUCAGUUUGCGUAAGAAUAUGUAAAAUUUAUGUAUAUGGGGCUAAGCUUUUUUCGUAUCCUAAUUAACUUGCGGCAUUAGCUGUCGACCACUUACUAAGUGCUCUCUUUCAUAAGUUUUAUUUCUCAUUUUCAGUACCCGUAACUUGCAAGAGAAAUUGGUAUCGUAAGCUCAAGAACAAAUCCUUUUCCACAAUACUUUAGAGAUAUAUAUAUUUUACAAUAGUUUACAAUAUUAUUCUAGACGCUACAUCUUUCCAAAAGUUGUUGAUUUCUUUAACAUACUUACGUAUGUGAGAGUUUUGAUUGAUUCAAAAAUACAGCACAAAACACUGCAUUAUUUUGUUUACGACCGUAGCAAGCAGCAACCUAGCUUUACAGACAAUUUAAGAGACAUACAAAGCAGUUCGCUUUUUAAAAAUCAUAAUUUUAAUGACUAUAUGAUAUCCAGUAAAUAAGAAAAGUCUGGCUAAUCUUAAAGCGCUUUCUAAGCUGCUUAUUUCACUUCAGAUUUACCUUACGCAAAAUUAUAUAAUCACGAAUAGAAGAAUAUUGAUCAAAUCAAUAAAUAUGUUUAAUAUUUUGAAUCACAACAAAAUUAUUACUUUGAAAGUUACUUUACUCGACAUAUUCCUUUCAUUCACUAUAAUAGGAAAGGAAGAGAGAGAGAGCGCGUUAAAAGCCAAAGUGUAGUAUUUGUCUUUAGUGACCAGGCAACUAAGUACGGAUGAGGCCAAUAGAAUGCGACGUUCAUGGCAACUUGAAAUUAUAGAGAGAGAUGCAUGUACGUAGCUCUGUGUACGUACGCGUUUGACUCGCUCUCUAUUUGAAUUUGAAAGAUGGUGUGGCAUGCGUUCACACAACCGCAGCUGGAGCUAAGCUGUGUUCUAUCUCUUUUGGAACCGCUCUACAACUUGCAUGCAUGAAGCUGUGCCAUGCACGUGGUUCUCUUUGCCUUUACCUUCCUCAUGUACAGCUAAAAAGAUAUGGACGUAAGAAGAUCGCUUAUUCCACUUCCAUCUAGCUAGUUCGAAGUUGUAGCUAACCCCACCUAACUCCACCUCAAAUAAAUUAUUCCGAGUUAGCUAAUCCCACCUAAUCCCACCAAACUCCAACCAAACACUAUUUUCUAUUCAUAAUAACCCACUAUCUUUCUUAUCACACCUACUCCAGCAAAUCAUUAUCCUUUUUUACCAAUCAUUAUCUUCUUAUCCCAUCUACCCAACCAAACAAUAUUUUUCAUUAUUCUAGACUAACUCCAAUCCCCAACCAAACACAAAAAAACUUUAACCCCACUUUAACCCUGAACUUAACUCUAUUCCUGGAAUAGCUAUUUUUUCCUUAACCCCGAACCAAACGGAGGCGUAGUGUCUAUUUCAUUCAAAAAC
rnacentral:lncRNA from 1 species